rnacentral:rRNA from 1 species
UACGUAGGGUGCGAGCGUUGUCCGGAAUUACUGGGUGUAAAGGGUCCGUAGGCGGAUACGUAAGUCGGCGGUGAAAUCUCUUGGCCCAACAGGAACAUGCUAUCGAUACUACGUAUCUUGAGUUCGAGAGAGGAUAAUGGAAUUCAUGGUGUAGCGGUGAAAUGCGUAGAGAUCAUGAAGAACACCGGUAGCGAAGGCGGUUAUCUGGCUCGAUACUGACGCUCAGGGACGAAAGCGUGGGGAGC